UAUUCUCAAUCCAUUCUGGGUUUCUGAAAAGAAACUUGUUUGGAAUUGGAUUUGGAGGCUUUCUGUUGGUUACACUUUGUUAAUCAACUCCUCUGAAAUGCAUUAGCAGGAAUGAAGUGCCAUCUUCAGUGUGAUAAUUAUCUGCACUGUGGAGUGAUGCUUAAAUGCUCCAGCUUCUAAUUGUCUAUUCUCUUGGACAUUUUUUAUGAC
rnacentral:misc_RNA from 1 species